AAAAUCACCACAGGAUGGCGACAUGUUUAAAGUCAUUCAAUUAGAUUUGCAGUUGUGUAAUUCACCAAAAUCACCACAGGAGGGCGAAUAUUUUACAUUAAUUAUAUUGAAGAUUUGCAAAGGUGUAAUUCAGAAAUUCUCCACACGAGGCUGAAACUUUCAUUAUUUUAGAGCGGCAGCAGUGCAGUUCACAAACAUCACCACAAGAGGGCGAAUAUUUUAAAUACAUUAUAUAAAAAUUUGCAAAGGCGUAAUUCAGAAUAAUCUCCACAUGAGGGCGCAAUAUUCAACACAAAUGUAAUAUUUGUAUAUUUGUCUAUUAUUAGCUCAGAUAUUCAGUGUGUAAUAAUGUGUGUAUUUGUGUGUCGACUCUACAGGAUAAGUGACGUGUUGUGGACUGUAAGCCUGUUGAACAGAAGCAGAGACGUGUGGACAGACACUGACUGUACUGAUGAUGAUCAUCUGCUGCUGCUCAGGCUGUAAAGUAUAACCCCUGCUGGACACGGCUCCGGAAGCUCCAGGGGGAGACCGAACUGGUAUCCCCCCUUCUUCAGGCGCGCCUCACACUCACUCACCAUUCACACAUAUCGCAGAGUUCUGGCUGGGACCGAUACCAGCAACCCCUGAAGCCGUGGGGCAGCGCUCUUACCACAGAGCCACAGAUCUCCUGUCUGAACACCUGCUGGAACUGAUGUUUGGUUGCUGACCUGUGUGUGAGCUGAUUCAAUAAAACAAGAUACAAGUCAGAUGUGAUCCCUUGUCUUUAUGAGUCUCUUCCUCAGAGAACUUGUGUUCUGUAUAAUGAGUUGAACAUCACCCUUAGCGAGGAUUGAACCCGGGUCUUCUUGAGUAAAGACCAACACUUUAUGACCUGAGCCACCGAGUCUAGAUGUUGGAGGGGGUUUCUAAAUUGGGCUUUAUCACUAACUCCGUCAUGACCAAGGUUUGACACAAAUUUCUUUGAAAUUUGGUUCACAAAACAACAAUUGCCAAGAGUCAAGCUCUGUGGUUCAAAGGAUGAGCGUUCAACUAUUGUACAGAAGUGUGAAGGAUCAAAUCCCACUCUUGCUAGAUACAAGUCAGAUGUGAACUCUUGUCUUUAUGAGUCUCUUCCUCAGAGAACUUAUGUUUAUUCACUCAAUCAUCACGAGUUUCACAUCAUCAUCCUGCUUGAGCUCAUUAUAUUCAGCAUCAGCUUCAUCAUCAUGGCAGGACACUGAUGGUGAAUAUAAUAAGCUCAAACUGGACAUUAGCCAUAGUGAGAUUUGAACCCGGGUCUCUUUGAUUAAAGUUCAACAAUUUAUGACCUGAGCCACAGAGUCUGGAUGGUGAGAUCAAUGUUUAAAUGGAGCUUUAUCUAUUUCCUAAUUUUAACUGUGAUUUGAGAUAAAUUUGUUUGUAAUUUGGCUCACAAAAAGACUAUUGUCAGACGUCAAGUUCAGUAGCUCAGUGGAUGAGUGUCAGACUGCCAUACAGAAGGCUGAAGGUACUUGGAUACGAAACUCACUUCGCUGUGCAGAUCACAACAAAAGAACAGCUGAAAUGAAAGCAAUCAGUGUGCAGGAUUGAGGAAAAACACUUUUGUUGUUUGUAUUUAGAUCAGCAGUAAAGAGCAGUAACAGGAUCUGGAUUUGAACCCAGGUAUGCUGUGAGAAAUUCACAUCUCAGGCUGUGUGCUCUGACCACUACACCAUCAGCACACACACAAACACACACUUCUUUCUCCAGUGUAAGGAUGACCACAUUUACACAUUUUGAAAAAAAAGUAAAUAAAUACAAAUAAUUAAUAUCAAGUGUAAAAUUAUUCAAUAUUCAUUAAAACUACAUCAUAUGCUAAUAUAUUAUCAUAUUUCAUUGUUCAAAAUGUGUAAAACCUGCUUUUUCUCCAAUCAAACACAUCAACCAUAUUUCAGAUGAUCUUACAGCUGCUUUUGGGUCUAUAAAUGUCACUAAACACAAUUAAACACUGUAAAUAUCAUCAUUUACCUCUAAAGUCUCCUCAUACUGUAUUGAGGACUCUACACCAAAUCUGGCCAAUCAGAUGCUUUCUAGAGAAAGUCCCUCCCCAAACAUACACGCGACAGAGCAGCAGCACAACAAACACACUUUCUGGACUCUCUACUGGAAAUAUGAGCUCAUAAAUACCUUUACUGGAGCUGUGAAUCCGCCUGGAUGUGGAGGAGUGUGUGGAGGAGCGUCAGAAAGAGGAAAGAUGUGCAGCAGAAACACAACAGACACACGUGUGUAUCUUCACUGCUGCAGAGGAGGAGAGAGAGCAAUGCCUGAACACAAACACUACAGCAACAUCACUACAAACAAACCCACCGAAACAAAGUCACUUACAGGAUCAGUGACGUGUU